rnacentral:rRNA from 1 species
UACGUAGGGCGCAAGCGUUAUCCGGAAUUAUUGGGCGUAAAGAGCUCGUAGGCGGUUUGUCGCGUCUGCCGUGAAAGUCCGGGGCUCAACUCCGGAUCUGCGGUGGGUACGGGCAGACUAGAGUGAUGUAGGGGAGACUGGAAUUCCUGGUGUAGCGGUGGAAUGCGCAGAUAUCAGGAGGAACACCGAUGGCGAAGGCAGGUCUCUGGGCCAUUACUGACACUGAGAAGCGAAAGCAUGGGGAGCGAACAGG